rnacentral:rRNA from 1 species
GAUGAACGCUGACAGAAUGCUUAACACAUGCAAGUCAACUUGAAUUUGGGUUUUUAACUUAGGUUUGGGUGGCGGACGGGUGAGUAACGCGUAAAGAACUUGCCUCACAGUUAGGGACAACAUUUGGAAACGAAUGCUAAUACCUAAUAUUAUGAUAAUAGGGCAUCCUAUAAUUAUGAAAGCUAUAAGCGCUGUGAGAGAGCUUUGCGUCCCAUUAGCUAGUUGGAGAGGUAACGGCUCACCAAGGCGGUGAUGGGUAGCCGGCCUGAGAGGGUGAUCGGCCACAAGGGGACUGAGACACGGCCCUUACUCCUACGGGAGGCAGCAGUGGGGAAUAUUGGACAAUGGACCAAGAGUCUGAUCCAGCAAUUCUGUGUGCACGAUGAAGUUUUUCGGAAUGUAAAGUGCUUUCAGUUGGGAAGAAAGAAAUGACGGUACCAACAGAAGAAGUGACGGCUAAAUACGUGCCAGCAGCCGCGGUAAUACGUAUGUCACGAGCGUUAUCCGGAUUUAUUGGGCGUAAAGCGCGUCUAGGUGGUUAUGUAAGUCUGAUGUGAAAAUGCAGGGCUCAACUCUGUAUUGCGUUGGAAACUGUAUAACUAGAGUACUGGAGAGGUAAGCGGAACUACAAGUGUAGAGGUGAAAUUCGUAGAUAUUUGUAGGAAUGCCGAUGGGGAAGCCAGCUUACUGGACAGAUACUGACGCUGAAGCGCGAAAGCGUGGGUAGCAAACAGG